GCCCUUAUCUUCUGGUUAAAUUGGUUGCUGUUGCUGAAAGAAGAAUAUUAAGAUUUUUUUUCAGUUAUAAGGUGAAAACCAAAGUAAUCUCUAAAGGUUAUUCGGAUUAAUAAGUAGCCAGAGUUUCUUCAGAUCUGAUCCAAAUUUCUCUCUAGAGUUUAUUGAGAUUGAUAAGUAGCCAGAAUUUCUUCGGAUUGGGUCGGUUUAGAUUUCAUGUUAUUAGAAACCAUGACCAUCUAAUUCUAAUCAGGAAUAUGAGUCGGUUUCAUCAUCAGAUUUAAGUUUAAAGAUCAUGUUGAACACUCCAUGCAUGGUAGUCUUAUUUCAUCAUAGCUCAAAGACUCAGACUAAUAGUAGGGUCUUCUAUAUAUAUAUUAAUAUAUUAUACACUAUAUAGAUUUUACGUCUAAACCUCACUUCUUGUCAUUACUAACCAUUCUGUCUCAGUUUUGGUUCUUAAACUGGUCAUUCUAUUAUGGGAUAGAGGACUGAAUUAUUUAUCAUUGUAGUGAUUUCUAUACUAAACAAUUCAUUGGUCUAAUUAAGGUAUCUACCAACCAAUACCAAAUGACCAAUCUUGACAUGAUUCAGUUGUUGUAGUUAGGCCCGCUGCUAUGUAAUAAACCAUUCACAAUUGAAAAGAAUAAACAUCGAGAAUUUAUUCACAGGGCAUUCUAAAGUUGUGAAUAAAGAGAAUCUAAGUAUUUCUGCAUUUGAAACUUCAGAUCAUAAUCGUGACAAUGAGUAACAGAUCAUGUGUUUUACAAAAAAUUGGAAACCACUUCAAUGUCAGGAGAAUUUAUGAAGUGUAUCACAAUUGUAUCACUUACCACGGCCUUGGGGAGGUGGUGCUUCUGGUUCACCAUAGUUGCAACCACUGGAUUUUUUAUGCAUACCUUUACCACAAUCUCCUCUUCCACGUCCGCACAAAGUACAUCCUCUUCCAUGAACUCUAACUCUACCACUGUAGCACUGACCGUCACACAUAGAUAAUAAC
rnacentral:lncRNA from 1 species